rnacentral:rRNA from 1 species
UACGUAGGUGGCAAGCGUUAUCCGGAUUUAUUGGGCGUAAAGGGAACGCAGGCGGUCUUUUAAGUCUGAUGUGAAAGCCUUCGGCUUAACCGGAGUAGUGCAUUGGAAACUGGGAGACUGGAGUGCAGGAGAGGUGAGCAGAAUUCCUAGUGUAGCGGUGAAAUGCGUAGAUAUUAGGAGGAACACCAGUGGCGAAGGCGGCUCACUGGACUGUAACUGACGUUGAGGCUCGAAAGCGUGGGGAGCAAACAGG